rnacentral:rRNA from 1 species
GAUGAACGCUGGCGGCGUGCUUAACACAUGCAAGUCGAACGGAAAGGCCCAAGCUUGCUUGGGUACUCGAGUGGCGAACGGGUGAGUAACACGUGGGUGAUCUGCCCUGCACUUCGGGAUAAGCCUGGGAAACUGGGUCUAAUACCGGAUAGGACGAUGGUUUGGAUGCCAUUGUGGAAAGUUUUUUCGGUGUGGGAUGAGCUCGCGGCCUAUCAGCUUGUUGUUGGGGUAAUGGCCUACCAAGGCGUCGACGGGUAGCCGGCCUGAGAGGGUGUACGGCCACAUUGGGACUGAGAGACGGCCCAGACUCCUACGGGAGGCAGCAGUGGGGAAUAUUGCACAAUGGGCGCAAGCCUGAUGCAGCGACGCCGCGUGGGGGAUGACGGCCUUCGGGUUGUAAACUCCUUUCGCUAGGGACGAAGCGUUUUUGUGACGGUACCUGGAGAAGAAGCACCGGCUAACUACGUG